rnacentral:rRNA from 1 species
UGUUGUGUGUUAAGGGCACACGGUGGAUGCCUUGGCAUGAUGAGCUGAUGAAGGACGUGGGAGACUGCGAAAUGCCUCGGGGAGUUGUCAACCAAGCGUUGAUCCGAGGGUGUCCGAAUGGGGAAACCCGGCCGUCGUUGUGGGCGGUCACCUGCCGGUGAAUGUAUAGUCGGUGUGGGAGUGACGCGGGGAAGUGAAACAUCUCAGUACCCGCAGGAGAAGAAAACAAUUGUGAUUCCGUGGGUAGUGGCGAACGACAGCGGAUGAUGGCUAAACCGGUGCUGUGUGAUACCUGUCAGGGGUUGCGGUGUCGGUGUUGUGGGGUCUUGCAGGACUGGUCUGACAGCUGGUCGCCUGUCGCAUGCGUGUUAGCGGAAGUGGUCUGGGAUGGCCUGCCGUAGACGGUGAGAGUCCGGUACGUGAAAGCAUGUGUGUGCGGGUGUGUGAGUGUCCCCGAGUAGCAGCGGGCUCGUGGAAUCUGCUGUGAAUCUGCCGGGACCACCCGGUAAGCCUGAAUACUCAUUGUGACCGAUAGCGGAUAGUACCGUGAGGGAAUGGUGAAAAGUACCCCGGGAGGGGAGUGAAAUAGUACCUGAAACCGUGUGCUUACAAUCCGUCAGAGCCUUUCGGGGUGAUGGCGUGCCUUUUGAAGAAUGAGCCUGCGAGUCAGCGGCACGUCGCGAGGUUAACCCGUGUGGGGUAGUCGUAGCGAAAGCGAAUACUAACUAGUGUGUUGUAGUGGCGUGUCCUGGACCCGAAGCGGGGUGAUCUACCCAUGGCCAGUGUGAAGCGAUGGUAAGACGUCGUGGAGGCGCGAACCCACUUAGGUUGAAAACUGAGGGGAUGAGUUGUGGGUAGGGGUGAAAGGCCAAUCAAACUCCGUGAUAGCUGGUUCUCCCCGAAAUGCAUUUAGGUGCAGCGUCGUGUGUUUCUUGCCGGAGGUAGAGCUACUGGUUGGUUGAGCGGGACUAUCAUCUUAGCGACGUCAGCCAAACUCCGAAUGCCGGUAAGUGAGAGCGCGGCAGUGAGACUGCGGGGGAUAAGCUUCGUGGUCGAGAGGGAAACAGCCCAGAUCGCCGGCUAAGGCCCCUAAGGGUGUGCUAAGUGGAAAAGGAUGUGCGGUCGCGAAGACAGCCAGGAGGUUGGCUUAGAAGCAGCCAUCCUUGAGAGAGUGCGUAAUAGCUCACUGGUCGAGUGGCCGUGCGCCGACAAUGUAGUGGGGCUUAAGUACACCGCCGAAGCCGCGGAACUGCACACUGUUGUGUGUGGUUGGUAGGGGAGCGUCGUGUGGCCGGUGAAGGUGCGGGGUGACCCAGUGCUGGAGGCUAUGCGAGUGAGAAUGCAGGCAUGAGUAGCGAUUGAUGAGUGAGAAACUCAUCCGCCGAAUGACUAAGGGUUCCUGGGUCAAGUUUGUCUUCCCAGGGUGAGUCGGGGCCUAAGGCGAGGCCGACAGGCGUAGUCGAUGGUUAACGGGUUGAUAUUCCCGUACCCGAGCAUGUGCGAAAGGAGAUGAGGCGGUGAGACUAACCACCCUGAAGGACUGUCGGUGCAUCUUUGGUGUGCUGGUGGUGUGGAUGCGUGGGACCUGAUCCGUAGUAGUCUAGUGAUGGGGUGACGCAGUGAGGUAGCCGAGCCACUUAUUGGAUUGUGGUGUAAGCGUGUGGCCCGUGUCCCAGGUAAAUCCGGGGCGCAUACAGGGUGAGGCGUGAUGCGUACCCUUUUGUGGGGAUGUCGGUGAUCCUGUGCUGUCGAGAAAAGCCUCUAGCGAGUGCGUGUUCGGCCCGUACCCUAAACCGACACAGGUGGUCUGGUAGAGUAUACCGAGGCGUUCGGGUGAACUGUGGUUAAGGAAUUCGGCAAAAUGCCCCCGUAACUUCGGGAGAAGGGGGGCCCGUGCUGGUCGCAGCCUUUUGCGGGUUGUUGGCUGGUGUGGGUCGCAGAGAAUAGAGGGAAGCGACUGUUUACUAAAAACACAGGUCCGUGCGAAGACGGUAAGUCGAUGUAUACGGACUGACGCCUGCCCGGUGCUGGAAGGUUAAGAGGACCUGUUAGGGCUUUGGCCCGAAGCGGAGAAUUUAAGCCCCAGUAAACGGCGGUGGUAACUAUAACCAUCCUAAGGUAGCGAAAUUCCUUGUCGGGUAAGUUCCGACCUGCACGAAUGGCGUAACGACUUCCCUGCUGUCUCAACCACAGGCCCGGCGAAAUUGCAGUACGAGUAAAGAUGCUCGUUACGCGCGGCAGGACGAAAAGACCCCGGGACCUUCACUAUAGCUUGGUAUUGGUGUUCGGUUCGGUUUGUGUAGGAUAGGUGGGAGACUGUGAAGCGGCUACGCCAGUGGUUGUGGAGUCGUUGUUGAAAUACCACUCUGAUCGUAUUGGAUGUCUGAACCUCGGCCCGUGAUCCGGGUCAGGGACAGUGCCUGGUGGGUAGUUUAACUGGGGCGGUUGCCUCCCAAAGUGUAACGGAGGCGCCCAAAGGUUCCCUCAGCCUGGUUGGUAAUCAGGUGUUGAGUGUAAGUGCACAAGGGAGCUUGACUGUGAGACUGACAGGUCGAGCAGGGACGAAAGUCGGGACUAGUGAUCCGGCACCGGCUUGUGGAAGCGGUGUCGCUCAACGGAUAAAAGGUACCCCGGGGAUAACAGGCUGAUCUUCCCCAAGAGUCCAUAUCGACGGGAUGGUUUGGCACCUCGAUGUCGGCUCGUCGCAUCCUGGGGCUGGAGUUGGUCCCAAGGGUUGGGCUGUUCGCCCAUUAAAGCGGCACGCGAGCUGGGUUUAGAACGUCGUGAGACAGUUCGGUCUCUAUCCGCCGUGCGCGUUGAAACUUGAGAAAGGCUGACCCUAGUACGAGAGGACCGGGUUGGACGUACCUCUGGUGGGCCAGUUGUCACGCCCGUGGCAUUGCUGGUUGGCUACGUACGGGAGGGAUAACCGCUGAAAGCAUCUAAGCGGGAAGCCUGUUUCGAGAUGAGGUUUCGUGUGAGGUUCCCUGUAGACGACGGGGUUGAUAGGCCGGAUCUGGAAGCCAUGUGAGUGGUGGAGGUGACCGGUACUAAUUGACCGAACAUUACACUU